GAAUUGGUUCCUUUACCGUCGGAAAAGUCUUUAGUAGGAUGUCGUUGGCUUUAUACGGUGAAAGUUGGUCCUGAUGGAAAGAUUGAUCGUUUUAAAGCUCGUUUUGUAGCAAAAGGGUACACUCAAGUUUUUGGCCUCGAUUACAGUGAUACUUUCUCCCCUGUGGCUAAGAUGGCCUCUGUUAGACUACUCCUCUCUAUUGCAGCCAUCAGACAUUGGUCUCUACAUCAACUUGACAUUAAAAAUGCGUUUUUGCAUGGUGACCUUGAAGAAGCAGUGUAUAUGGAGCAACCACCUGGGUUUGUUGCUCAGGGGGAGUCCUCUACCAUGGUUUGUCGACUUCAGAGGUCUCUCUAUGGUCUUAAACAGUCUCCUCGAGCUUGGUUUGGUAGAUUUAGCACAGUAGUGCAACAAUUUGGCAUGAUUCGAAGUGAAGCUGAUCAUUCUCUUUUUUAUCGCCACUCAACCCAAGGGUACGUUUACUUGAUUGUCUAUGUAGAUGAUAUUGUCAUAACUGGUAGUGAUCAACAGGGCAUACUCCAAUUGAAACAACAUUUAUCUCAUCAGUUUCAAACUAAAGAUCUUGGCAAGCUUCGCUACUUCUUGGGUAUUGAGGUAGCCCUAUCUAAGGACGGCUUAGUAAUUUCAUAAAGAAAAUAUGCUAUGGAUAUUCUCGAAGAGAUAAGUUUGUUGAAUGCCAAACCAGUUGACACUCCUAUGGAUCCAAACACCAAACUUCUACCUAAUCAUGGGGAGCCAUUUUUAGAUUCAGAGAGAUACAGAAGAUUGGUUGGUAAAUUAAACUACCUCACAGUCACCCGUCCAGACAUUUCUUUUGCAGUCAGUGUGGUAAGUCAAUUCUUAAAUUCUCCUUGUCAAGAACACUGGGAUGCUGUGAUAUGAAUCUUGAAAUACAUUAAAGGUGCUCCAGAAAAAGGUCUAAUUUAUGAAAACAAAGGACAUACUCAGAUAGUUGGUUAUUCAGAUGCCGAUUGGGCAGGCUCACCCAUUGAUAGGCGAUCCACUUCUGGAUAUUGUGUACUUGUUGGAGGAAACUUAAUAUCUUGGAAGAGUAAGAAACAAAGUGUAGUUGCAAGAUCUAGCGCUGAAGCUGAAUACAGGGCUAUGGCAUUAGUGACCUGUGAGCUCAUUUGGUUGAAACAGUUACUCAAAGAGCUUCAAUUUGAAGAGGCAACACAAAUGACAUUAAUAUGUGAUAAUCAAGCAGCAUUGCACAUUGCCUCUAAUCCAGUUUUUCAUGAGAGGACCAAGCAUAUUGAGAUAGAUUGUCACUUUGUAAGGGAGAAGAUCGAAUCAGGCGACAUCACCACUAGUUUUGUUAAUUCCAAUGAUCAAUUGGCAGAUGUAUUCACUAAGUCUCUGAGAGGUCCUCGAAUCAGUUAUAUAUGUAACAAGCUUGGUUCAUAUGAUUUAUAUGCUCCAGAUUGAGGGGAAGUGUUGAAAAUAUAUUUAUAUUUAUUACAUAUCAUGUAAAUAGGGAUAAUAUCUUCCGUAUUUAUUUUUGUAUUUAUUGCCUUGAGCCUAUAUAAAACAGACUCCGUUGUGUAGCUCAGACACACGGUUUCACCAUAUGUCUUUCAUUUUCUCUUAUUCAACACAAACUAAUGAUACCAAAUCCAUCAUAUUCAAUAAUUCACAAUAAUCACAGGUAGGAAAAAAAAGGAUGGAGAAGAAGAAACCAAGAAAUCUGACUUUAGGAAAAUGUCACCAUAAUUAAGCAAGAAGCACAAGUCCUGGAUUAUCUUCACCAUAGCUUCCAUGUGCAACCCAUUUUUCAUAGAUUACCAUCCCUACAACACUGAAGGAGAAAUCACAAGUCCAUAACAAAGAAACAUAAACGAAAAGGACUCAUGAUGCAUAGAGAUCAGCAAAUCAAACUUCAGACGAUGGCGAUGGCUCAGCGCUAUGAAUGACAUAAUAUUUUGACAUUUUCGGAUAAAAUCCCUUGAAAAUGUCAACUUCAAUUAUUUUGAUUGCAGAUAGAAGUGCUCAAUAUAUCAACAAACAAUUUCAUCAAUUUCUAAUCCAAAGGCUGGUUUCUGUACCACGGUAAGGAAGAGGAUAUCUAAUUAGGAGGAGAGUGAUUCGUGUAGAUCAACAUUAUAAAAAAAAUUCAUUAAAAAAGUUUAGGUACUAAGCAAAUUCUUCCAAACAAAGAGCCGAGACUUGUUGACUGUUGUCCUUAAUUCUUCGGCUGACAUGUACGAAUUCUCUUAAAAAUACAAAGACACCCACAUUCCAGUUCACAGUGAAUAAAUCAAAUCUUAAGAUCAAACAUAAGGUCAACCAAUCUAGAACAGAAGCAUAGAAAAAAAUGAUUUUGUUCCCAUGGCCAUAAAUCAUGAUCAUUAUAAUCUUCUACACGGCUACCAGACCCCAACAAUAAUCAUAAUAACUCUGUAACGCAAUAAAAGAAAUGAAUUGAUAAAACUAAACACUCAAAAUAGAAAAGAAAAAUGAAGAAACACCAAUCUGUAAUCCAAUUAGAGAUAACCAUAUAGAAGGGAAGUCCAUCUUCACCAUAGUAGUGCCACAGUGUGGUCACAAAGAUUACCUCCCCUAUAACACCAAAGUAGAAAUCAUAAAUUGACAUAACUAGAUAAUUAAAGUCGACAAAGAAAUAAUGAUAUAUUGAUAAAACUAAACACUCAAAAUAGAAAAGGAAAAUGAAGAAACACGAAUCUAUAAUCCAAAUAGAGAUAAUCAUAUAGAAGGGAAAUCCAUCUUCGCCAUAGUUUCGAAGUGCCACAGUGUGGUCACAUAGAUCACCUCCCCUAUAACACCAAAGUAGAAAUCACAAAUUGACAUAACUAGAUAAUUAAAAUCGACAAAGAAAUAAUGAAAUGAAAAGAAUUUGAGGCAGUGGCUGACCAUUAUGAAGGACGUUACACUACACUGCAGAUCAACAGGUUAACAAUUCAGAAUGUGUGUGUGUGGUAUUAAAACAAUAGACAAAAAUUAAGUUAUGCAGAAAAAAUUAGAUUUAUCGAAAACCAUUUGCCAUCCUUAGCCUUCCACAAUCAGGAAUCUUAGAACGCUCUACACUUGAGCACAAGUAGUUCUUAGCCUUACAAGAAAAGGCAUAUGAGAACUCCUGCUUGCUGUAAAAUGCUUCACGUAUCUCUCUGAUCAAAUGAAAAAUAAUAUUCAAGGAAUCGACUUCAAAGAAUAGUCAAUAGUAUCAAUUACUUGAGAUCUUAAGCAUAUUGAUAAGCAAAUAACAAUCUCAACCAAGGAAAGCUUUUAUAUAAGAACAAACUCUGAAGUCGAAACAAUCCAGAUGCAGACAAUCAUCUUAAAGAAUUAAGGCACGUAAAAUGGGGAGAAGGAAAUUUUGUCCAAACCAAGAAGCAAGAAUGUAGAGCCCAACCGUGUCGUCCUAAAUUCCAACAUUCAGUUCACACUGCCAAGAAACCAAAUCUUAAAACCAAGCAUAAGGAUGACUACUAAAUAACAAAAAACAUGGAAAAAGUCAUUUUAUUCCCAAAGUUGGAGACUAUGAUCUUCUGCGACAGCUACCACACCCAAGAAGAAGUCACUAAAAGGAAUGAAACAAUUAAACUACCAAUAAUAGAAAGAUUGAAAACACUAAAUCCAUAAUCUGAAUAGAGAUAAUCUUAUUGAACAAAAAGAACAACUAAUCCUGGAUUAUCUCCACCAUAGCUUCCACGUGCCACCAAGAGCUUGAAAUGAAACAUUAUGAUCAAACAUUAUAAUGGAUAAAUAAAAAGUAUAAUAUUGUAUAGAAUCCAAAAUUACAACAACAUACACCUAUGAAUCAAUUAAAAUUAACAGAAAUCAAACCACCCUAACCACAAUUAUCCUAUAGAUUUAUAUAAUUCGAUUUUGAAACUUUGUCACAACUAAUAAUUAUUUUUUGUUAAUUUUUUUUUAACAUAAACAGUUUUUUCUUAUAAGAUUUAUCUAUUUUCAUACAUUCAAUCAAAUUCAUAUGUAAAAUUUUUCUCAAACUCACAUGUAAAAUUAUAAUUUUACUUUUGAGAAAUCACUCUAUACGAGACAUAACAAUCAUUAUAUACUCAUUCAGAGAGCCAAAAGGAAAUGAGAGAAGAGGUGACUCGAGGUGGGUGUGGAGAGAAGCUGAGAAAAGUAAGGUGACUGUGUUUAGACAUAAGAUAAGGAGAAAAUAGAUGUCUCUUAAAAGAAACUAAAAAUAGUAAUAUUUUUAAAAAAAUUAUUGAGGACUCUAAAUCCUAAAGAUUACCUUCCCUACAACACUAUUACAAAUCCUUAAAACUACACACCUGUAGCAAUGGCAUAGAGAUAAAAAACUACAAAAAAACAUAUAAUCAAAAUUUCAAACAUAUAAAACUCAAUAAUAUGAAAACAUAAAAGAUCAGCAAAACAAACUCGAGGUGGUAGCAAUGGCUCAAAGCUAUAAAUUGACGUUAUUUUUUUGAUAGACAGCUGCAGAAAUGCAGGUUAAAUCAAUGUGUGUUUUGUGUUGAGAGUUGAAACCAUAGCCAAAAAAUAAUAAUAGAGAAGAAAUUAAACUCAUCCAGAACAAUUGUAAAGCAUUCUUAAAGUUUAGAUCCAGUCAGAGCAAAACCUUCGAACAUGGAAGGGAACCCAAGAGUUAAGAAUUAUGAUUUCUUGAUUACCCCUAAUAGAAUAACCACUUAGAAUAAGCAAACAGAUGAAAUUUGUAAUAAAGUGAAAAAUUGUAUGGAUACGAUCAAUCAAUAAGCUCUUACUUUGCCUUGAAAGGGUGCUGCAUAGGUAGAUUAGAAGUUUCCAGCAAAAGAGAAUUUCUUUUUUAUUAAGUUCCAGGCUCCGGGCUUAAAAGCCGAAUUAGCCAUUGGGAUUGGUGUACAGACAAGACUGAUUGAGAUUCGUAAUUAGCAGCAACCAAAGAAUGCUGCAAAAGGAAUAGCCGGAAACACCUUUACAAAACCUACACAAGUAGUUGAAAACUGCAACACAUUAUUAAUCUCCAUAUUAUUAACCUCCAUGAUUAGUAAAGAAAUAAUACCGAAAGAAUUGACAGAGAAGCGUCAGAUUAUCGAGGUCUUCAUCAUAUCAAUAAGCAUACCCUAACAAUCCCUAAUUAUGGAUGCAGAACAUAAAAAUAAGUUUCCCUGAUAAAGGAACCAUAUAGAAACAAACCAUCUGGAAGACAAAACUCAAGAACAAUACCAGCCAACUCACGAAUAGAUUAAUAAAAAACAAUCCUUCUCUUGUUUGUUAUUAAACCUAAUAAUGUAGGAAUUCUUUGACAAUCUUUUCCUUAGCUUUUAAGUCAUUGUUGCCUCUCUUCUACAAGACUAAAGAGGGAAAAUCACAUAUGCAAAAUUUCAAAUUCUUACAACCAACAAAAUUACAUAAAUAAUUCAUGACAUGACGUGUGAAGAACAGCAAUGAAACUCAAGAGGUAUUAAGACUCGAACGCACCAAGAAGUUGCGCAUGUAUGGCUCAAAUCCAGAAACAAACCCUACCCAGAAAAGAAAAGAAACCCUACACAAUUAAGGACAUCAAACAGAUAAGCUGGUGAUACCAAACCACAUAAAUAUUUGAAACUGUGGAAAGAAAAAUAGUACCAACGGUGAAAACUAGAAAAGGUCACAAUAAUUAAGCAUGAAGCUAACUUCUUCAUAAAAUGUUGCCCAACAAUAUUCGAACACUCAACUGCACAAAAACAAAUUGCACUAAUUUAUUCAAAUGUGUAAUCCAUCAGACCAGAAAGAAAAAAAACACUAAACUCUUAAAACAAGUUAAAUGAUGAUAAAAGUUAUCUCAUAAUAUCCCUUGAAAAUUCCAACUUCAAUUAUGUUGAUUGAGGAUAGCAGUGCUCAAUAUAUUUUACAGAGAUCAACUUCAAAUGCAAAGGCAGGUUAGGAAGAAGAUUAGGGAGGAGGGAGAUUCCUGUAGUUCCAACAUUAUAAAAUAAUAUUCCAAUAGAAAGUAUAGGAGUAGCAAAAUUUUCCAAACCAAGAGGCAGGAACAAAGAGCCCAACCUUGUUGUCCUAAAUUCUCUGGCUGAGAUAGGAAAUAUUAUCUAACAUGUAUAGAAACCUGUGGAAAACACAAAGACACUGUCAAGAUAAUUAGAAUCAACAAAGAAAUAUUGAUAUGAAAAGAAUUCAUGAAAUACAGUUGAGAGCAACAAAUCAAGGCUGAACACUAUAAGGAUGUUACUAUUAUAAUACACUACGCUGCUGAAAAACAGGUUAACCAGCUUGCUGCAAAAUGAGAACUUCAACUCAUAAAUCUCUCAGUGAUCGAAUGAAGAAUAAUAUUCAAGGAAUUGACUUUAAAGGAUAGUCAAUUGAAGUAUAAACUUCUUGUGAUCUAAAGCAUAUCUAGAAGCAAAUCAUAACAUUCUCAACCAAGGAAGCAGGUCGGUCAUAAAUAAGAACAAACUCUGAAGUUGAACCCAUCUAGAAGCAGACAAUCAUCCAAAGAAUUAAGGCACUUCUAUCCACCUUUAUUUUAGAGAAGUCAACUUGUUUGUUGAAUUUGAAAAAAUAUGUUGAUUUCUAUAGUAAGAAUGAGUUUUUGUAGGUGGGAGGGAAAGUCAAAAGAGAUAGAAUAGAUUUUUCAUUAAUUAUACUAGAAUUUCCAAUUGGUAUUAAAAAUGCCAUAUUGUCUUAAUUAAUAUUCCAAAUUUCUAAUGACGCAGUUAGCAACGCAUUAUAAUCCACAAUUCAAUUUGAGGCACAUACGAAUUCGGUGAAAUUACGAAACUCAUUAAUUAACAAACAUAACAAAGAAGAGAGUUAUAGAUGUCACCCACUAGCUCAGUGGUGAUGAUCGUGUUAACUGCCUUGAAGUUACAAGACCCAAGUCCCUUGGUCGUGAUAAUAGCCAUCAAAUGCAGAAGAAGCAUGAUUCAUAACAUUGUUAUGCCCAUAGCAACUCUCCCCAGGUUUGAACCAACAAAUGACGAUCAUACGUAAUAAUCUAGAAAGAAGAAAACUUCAAUGUCUAAUAAAACAACAUAAACGUAUGAUAAACAAUAUUUGAACAUAGAAACUAAGGCUAAUUCAUUCAAUUGUUCCACCCUUGAGGAGCAAAGUAAUCCAAAAAGCGAGGUUAGCAUGUAUGUCUCUCUAAUUCUGAAACAAAUUCUGAAACAAACCCCUGACAGAACUAUGUUGAUAAGAAAUAAUUGAUAAGUGAUAACCGAUACGUGAUAAGUGAUAGCUAAUAAGUGAUAAAUUAUAGUUGAUAAGUGAUAAAUGAUAAGUGAUAAGUGAUAAAUAAUAAGUGAUAGCUAAUAAAUGAUAAGUAAUAACUAAUAAGUGAUAACUGAUAAAUAAUUGUUGAUAAGUGAUAGUUGAUAAGUGAUAAUCGAUAAGUGAUAGUUAAUAAGUGAUAAUCGAUAAGUGAUAGUUAAUAAGUGAUAAUCGAUAAGUGGUGACUAAUAAGCGAUAAGUGAUAGCUAAUAAGUAAUAGUUGCUAGUCGAUAAGUGAUAAAGAAGCAAGAAUACAACAAACACACACAAACUGAUGAUACCAAACCCGUUAUAUAUUUAAUAAUCCACAAAAAUCAGACUUCAAAAUCGUGAAAAGGAAGAGAAACAUGUCAAAAAAGAACCAAGAAUUCGAACUCCAAGAAAGUGUCCAUAAUUGUGCACAAAGCUAGAUUUAUCCGGUAAUGUUGCUCUCAAACACUUAACUGCACAAAAACAAGUGCACAAUUUAAUUCAUAUGUGCAAACAUUCAAAAAACAGAAAAAGACAAAGAAACUCAUCAAAGUAAAAUAAUCCUAAGCUGUUCAUUUGAGAAUGAUUUUAUUCUCAUGGCCACCAAAACUGUUAUAAUCUCCUAUCCAAUUGAGAAUGAUUUUAUUCUCAUGGCCACCAAAACUGUUAUAAUCUUCUACCACACCUACCAACAUUCAUAAUAAUCCUAUAACCACCCAUGAAGAAAUCACAAAAGGAACGAAUCAAUCAAUAAAACUAAAUACUCAAAAUCGAUAAGGAAGGCUGAAAAACAUCCAUAAUCCAAAUAGAGAUAAUCACAUUGAAUGAAAAGACUACCUUCCCUAUAGGAAGUCCUUGAUAAUCUCUGCCAUUGUUUUCACAUGCCACAGCGUGUUAAUAGAUUACCUACCCUAUAAUGAAGUACAAAUCACAAAUUGGGAUAACUAGAUAUUUAGAAUUGCAAAGAAAUAUUGAAAUUAGACUUUUCAUGAUAUAACUAGCAAAAGAGAUCAACAAAUCAAACUCGAGGUGGUGGCAGAACCCUAUGAAGGAUGUUUCUAUUAUGAUACACUACUCUUCAGAAAAACAUGUUAACAAUUCAGUGUGUAUGUCUGGUGUUAAAACCAUAGACAGAAAUAUCGAAAUGAGACUUCAUGAUAUAACUAGCAAUAGAGAUCAACAAAUCAAACUCGAGGUGGUGGCUGAACACUACGAAGAAGGAUAUUUCCAUUAUGAUACACUACUCUGCAGAAAAACAUGAUAACAAUUCAAUGUGUAUGUCUGGUGUUAAAACCAUAGACAGAAAAUAAAGGUAGUGCAGAAUAAAUUACAUCCAUCCAAAACCACAUCUUAAACACUCUACCCUGGAACACAAGUAGUUUUUAGCUUGCGGCAACAUGCUUCAACACAUUUUUCUCUCUGUGAUUAAAUGAAGAAUAAUAAUCAAAGAAUUGAUUUAAAAGAUAAGUAUCAGUUUUAGAGACGAACCAUGGAAUUAAGGCACUCAUCCUAAAGAAUUAAGGCACUCAUCUCCAAUCACCAUGGAAAAUGACAAAAUUCUUCUUGGUGACAUUAACUUUGUUGGAGGAAUUUGAAAAAGAUGUUCAUGUCAGUUAAUAAUGUGUUUGAAGGUGGAAAAGUCAUAAGAGGUUAAAUAGAAUUUCCAAUUGGUAUUAACUAUCGCAUUACUGUCUCAAUUAAAAUCUAAAAUUUCUAAUACAUAUCAGAUCCAAUUUGGAGCACAUAUGAAUUCAAGAGCAAUUACUCAAUAAUUAACCAACAUAUAACUAAGAAGAGAGUUAUAGAUGUCACUCACUAGGCUCAGUGGUGGUGAUCAUACCAGCUCCAUUGAAAUCACAAGACCCAAGAGACUCCCUUGAUUAUCAAAGGCAUAAGAAGCACGAUACAUAAAAUUAUUAUGAUCAUAGCAACUCUCACCAAGUUGAAUCUCCAAAUGCUGAACGUACAUAAUAAUCUAAGAAGAAACUUCGAUAUCUAAUAAAACUACUCAUACAGUUUUUCCACCUUAAAGAGCAAAUUUUGUACGCAAAAGUAAUCCAGAAAGCAAGGUUUGCAUGUAUCUUGAAACAAACCCCAACUAGUCAUGAAGACAAAAUCCACCAAGCAGAACUGUGUUGUGCACAUAUAUUUCUAAUCCUGAAACAAUCCCCAAUUGUUACAUGAAACAAACUAAUGAUACCAAACCCAUCAUAUUCAAUAAUUCACAAAAAUCAAAUCACAGAUAGGAAAAAAAGCAUGGAGAAGAAGAAACCAAGAAUUCUUGACUUUAGGAAAAUGUCACCAUAAUUAUGCAAGAAGCUAGAUUUUUCAGGUAUGUUGCUCAACUAUUUUCAAACAUUUCACUGCAGAAUAACAAAUGCACAAUUUAAUAUUCAUAAAAGUUAAAUUCACAAAAAUCAAAUCACAGAUAGGAAAAAAAGCAUGGAGAAGAAGAAACCAAGAAUUCUUGACUUCAGGAAAAUGUCACCAUAAUUAUGCAAGAAGCUAGAUUUUUCAGGUAUGUUGCUCAACUAUUUUCAAACAUUUCACUGCGGAAUAACAAAUGCACAAUUUAAUAUUCAUAAAAGUUAAAUAACCCUAAGCUCUUAAUUUUAUUAUCUGAUAGAAUCCCUUCAAAAUUCCAAUUUCCAUGAUUGCAUAUUGCAGCGAUUAAUAUAUAAAAAACAGACAACUUGGACUAGCAAAUUCAUCUAAAAAAAGAAGCAGGAACAAAGAACCCAACCAUAUCGUCCUAAAAUCCCACUGUCAACAAAUCAUAUCUUAAACCAAGCAUAGGGAUGACCAAUCCAAAACAGAGAUAGAAAAAAAGUGAUUUUAUUCCCAAGGUUGGAGACCAUAAUCUUUCGCUGCAGCAGCCACUGACAUUCAUAACCCUGUAACUUCAAAGAAGAAACAUCUAAAAGGAAUGAAUCGAUAAAAAUAAACACUUAGAGAUAAUACUAUUGAACAAAUAGAAUAACUCGUCCUGGAUUAUCUCCACCAUAGCUUCCACGUGCCACCAAGUGUUCAUAGAUUACCAUCCCUACAACAAUGAAGGAGAAAUCACAAGUCCAUAAAACUACACACUUAGAACUGACAAAGAAACAUAAACGAAAAGGACUCCUGUUGCAUAGAGAUCAGAAAAUCAAACUUCCGAAGAUGCCGAUGGCUCAGCCCUAUGAAUGACAUAAAUAUUUUGACAUUUUCAGAUAAAUCCCUUGAAAAUUUCAACUUCAAUUAUUUUGAUUGCAGAUAGAAGUGAUCAAUAUAUCUACAAACAAUUUCAUCAAUUCCUAAUCCAAAGGCUGGUUCUCUGUACCACUGUAAGGAAGAGGAUAUCUAAUUAGGAGGAGAGUGAUUCGGGUAGAUCAACAUUAUAAAAAAAUUCAUUAAUAAAGUUUAGUUACUAAGCAAAUUCUUCCAAACAAAGAGCCCAGACUUGUUGUCCUUAAUUCUUCGGCUGACAUGUACGAAUUCUCUUGAAAAUACAAAGACACCCACAUUCCGGUUCACAGUGAAUAAAUCAAAUCUUAAGAUCAAACAUAAGGUAAACCUAAUAAUGUAGGAAUUCUUUGACAAUCUCUUCCUUAGCUUUUAAGUCAUUGUUUGCCUCUCUUCUACAAGAGGUAUGAAGACUCGAACCCACCAAGAAGUUGCGCAUGUAUGUCCCAAAUCCAGAAACAAACCCUACCCCAGAAAGGAAAAGAAACCCUACACAAUUAGGGACAUCAAACAGAUAAGCUGGUGAUACCAAACCAGUAAUAUCAUGUGUUCAAUAAAUAUUUGAACACUCAACUGCACAAAAACAAAUUGCACUACUUUAUUCAAAUGUGUAAUCCAUCAGAAACCAGAAAAAAGAAACCAAACUCCUAAAACAAGUUAAAUGAUCUUAUAUGUUAUCUGAUAAUAUCCCUUGAAAAUUCCAACUUCAGUUAUGUUGAUUGCAGAUAACAGUCCUCAAUUAAUUUUAGAGACAAUUUGAUCAACUUCUAACGCAAAGGCAAGUUAGGAAGAAGAUUAGGAAGGAGAGAGAUUCCUGUAGUUCAACAUUAUAAACAAUAUUCCAAUAGAAAGUAUAGGUAGCAAAAUUUUCCAAACCAAGAGGCAGGAACAAAGAGCCCAACCUUGUUGUCCUAAAUUAUCCGCGGCUGAGAUAGGAAAUAUUAUCUAACAUGUACAGAAACCUGCGGAAAACACAAAGACACCCACAUUCCAGUUCACACUAUCAAGAAAUCAAAUCUCAAGACAUAAGGACAACCAAUCUAGAAAAAAUGAUUUUAUUCCCAAGGUUGUCGAAAACCAAGAUCUUAAUCUUCAACCACAGCCACAACAUCCCACCAACAUAACCCUGUAACACCCAAGAAGAAAUCACAAAAAGGAAUGAUUUGAUAAAACUAAACACUCGAAAUUGAUAAGGAAGACUGGAAACCCAAAUCCACAGUCCAAAUAGAGAUAAUCAUAUUGAAUGAAAAGAAUUUUUGUCUUGAUUGUGUUUAAAAACCUAAAGCUGAAGAGGAAGUCCUUGACAAUCUAUGCCAUAGUUUCCAUGUGCCACUGCGUGUUCAUAUGUUAUCUCUCCUAUAACACCAAAAUAAAAAUCACAAAUUUAGGUAACUAGAUAAUUAGAAUCAACAAAGAAAUAUUGAUAUGAAAAGAAUUCAUGAAAUACAGUUGAGAGCAACAAAUCAAGGCUGAACACUAUGAAGGAUGUUACUGUUAUAAUACCCUAUGCUGCUGAAAAACAGGUUAACAAUACAAUGUGUAUGACUGGCGUUAAAACCAUAGACAAAAAAAUAAAGGUAAUAUAGAAUAAAUUAGAUUAAUCCAAAACCAUUUGCCAUUCUUAGCCUUCCAAAUCAAGAAUCUUAAAACACUCUUACACUUGAUAGUGGAUAAGUGAUAAGUAUUAUCAAGUCUUUAGUAGGAUGUCGUUGGCUUUAUACGGUGAAAGUUGGUUCUGAUGAUAAGAUUGAUCGUUUUAAAGCUCGUUUGGUAGCAAAAGGGUACACUCAAGUUUUUGGCCUCGAUUACAGUGAUACUUUCUCCCCUGUGGCUAAGAUGGCCUCUGUUCGACUACUCCUCUCUAUUGCAGCCAUCAGACAUUGGUCUCUACAUCAACUUGCCAUUAAAACUGCUUUUUUGCAUGGUGACCUUGAAGAAGAAGUGUAUAUGGAGCAACCACAUGGGUUUGUUGCUCAGGGGGAGUCCUCUACCAUGGUUUGUCGACUUCAGAGGUCUCUCUAUGGUCUUAAACAGUCUCCUCGAGCUUGGUUUGGUAGAUUUAGCACAGAAGUGCAACAAUUUGGCAUGAUUCAAAGUGAAGCUGAUCAUUCUCUUUUUUAUCGCCACUCAACCCAAGGGUGCAUUUACUUGAUUGUCUAUGUAGAUGAUAUUGUCAUAACUGGUAGUGAUCAACAGGGCAUACUCCAAUUGAAACAACAUUUAUCUCAUCAGUUUCAAACUAAAGAUCUUGGCAAGCUCCACUACUUUUUGGGUAUAGAGGUAGCCCAAUCUAAGGACGGCUUAGUAAUUUUACAAAGAAAAUAUGCUAUGGAUAUUCUUGAAGAGACAGGUUUGUUGAAUGCCAAACCGGUUGACACUCUUAUGGAUCCAAACAUCAAACUUCUACCUAAUCAUGGGGAGCCAUUUUUAGAUUCAGGGAGAUAGAGAAGAUUGGUUGGUAAAUUAAACUACCUCACAAUCACCCGUCCAGACAUUUCUUUUGCAGUCAGUGUGGUAAGUCAAUUCUUAAAUUCUCCUUGUCAAGAACACUGGGAUGCUGUGAUACGAAUCUUAAAAUACAUUAAAGGUGCUCCAGGAAAAGGUCUAAUUUAUGAAAACAGAGGACAUACUCAGAUAGUUGGUUAUUCAGAUGCCGAUUGGGCAGGCUCACCCAUUGAUAGGCGAUCCACUUCUGGGUAUUGUGUACUUGUUGGAGGAAACUUAAUAUCUUGGAAGAGUAAGAAACAAAGUGUAGUUGCAAGAUCUAGCGCUAAAGCUGAAUACAGGACUAUGGCAUUAGUGACCUGUGAACUCAUUUGGUUGAAACAGUUACUCAAAGAGCUUCAAUUUGAAGAUGCAACACAAAUGACAUUAAUAUGUGAUAAUCAAGCAGCAUUGCACAUUGUCUCUAAUCCAGUUUUUCAUGAGAGGACCAAAUAUAUUGAGAUAGAUUGUCACUUUGUAAGGGAGAAGAUCAAAUCAGGCGACAUCACCACUAGUUUUGUUAAUUUCAAUGAUCAAUUGGCAGAUGUAUUCACUAAGUCUCUGAGAGGUCCUCGAAUCAGUUAUAUAUGUAACAAGUUUGGUGCAUAUGAUUUAUAUGCUCCAGCUUGAGGGGGAGUGUUGAAAAUAUAUUUAUAUUUAUUACAUAUCAUGUAAAUAUGGAUAAUAUCUUCCAUAUUUAUUUUUGUAUUUAUUGCCUUGAGCCUAUAUAAAACAGACUCCGUUGUGUAGUUCAGACACACGGUUUCACCAUAUGUCUCUCUCAUUUUCUCUUAUUCAACAAAUACGAUAACAACAUAAUUAAAUUUAUUUAUUGAUUCAUCGUUUAAAUAAUAUAUUUUUUAUUUUAAAAGAAUUUUAAUUUUAUUAUAAUUAAUUUACAUGAGCCUAUAAUUCGAAGAUAUAAUAAUUAAGUUUUGUUAUUUUUCUGCAUGUAAACCUAUUAACAUUAUAUUGAAAUAUGAGAUGACAACCUAAAAUUAUUUUUCAUAAAUUUUCUUACAAUAUAUUUAGACUUUAAAUUUUAUAUACAAUAAACUACAACUUCAAAAGUACAUAUUUUUCUUAAGCAUUAAUUGAACAUUUCAUUGUAUAAAUUAAUAAUUAAUAUCAUACAAUAUCAUUAAAAAAAAUAGUAUCUACAACAUGCCAUAAACAGAAAUGUAAAAACUAAAUAAUAUUGUUCACAAUUUAAUACUAUAGCAUAGCAUGUUUCGAGUACAUCUCUAAGAUGGUUUUAAAUUAAAUAUUUCUUCAAAUAAUUUGACUAGAAUAAGCUUUAAUUAAAACUAUAUCUAAUUUUUUAUCCAAUUUCAAAUUUUUGGAGUUUCUUUCUUAAAGAAAGACCAAAAAGUUAAGAAAAAAAAAAUACAGAUAAAACAAAACUAACAUCCAAAAUGCAAGAAAAAAUGCU
rnacentral:lncRNA from 1 species